rnacentral:rRNA from 1 species
AUGACCAUCGCAUUCUUUUCCAUCCUCCUAGUCCUAGUCCUAUCAGCCAUUUCUGUAGCUGCUUCCUCUCCCAACCGCAAUGGCAGUGACACAGACCUUGCCACUCUGCUGGCUUUCAAAGCCCAGUUCUCCGACCCUCUUGGUGUCCUUGCCGGCAACUGGACAACCAGCACAUCAUUCUGCCACUGGGUCGGCAUCAGAUGCAGCCGGCGGAGGCAGCGAGUCACAGCUCUGUCGCUGCCGGAUACACCUCUCUAUGGACCCAUCACACCUCACCUCGGUAACCUCUCUUUCCUCUCUGUCCUCAGUCUCAACAACACCAACAUCACGGGUUCCAUCCCACAUGAUUUAGGUAGACUACAUCGCCUUGAAUUCCUGAGACUUGGCUACAAUGGCCUGUCAGAUAGCAUCCCUCCUACUAUAGGAAACCUCUCAAGGCUUCAAGUUCUUGACCUAAAACUGAACCUCCUAUCUGGUUCAAUCCCGCUAGAGCUACGUAACCUGUACAAUCUUGCCUAUAUAAAUCUCAUGAAAAAUUCCAUUAGUGGAUCUAUACCGACCGACAUGUUUAACAAUACCCCUAUGUUAACUUAUUUAAACUUCGCCAACAAUAGCCUGUCAGGGUCAAUACCAUCCUGCGUUGGCUCCUUGCCACUGCUCCGCAACCUUAUUAUGCAUUACAAUCAUCUCACCGGCCUAGUGCCUCCUUCCAUUUUUAACAUGUCUAAACUGCAGGGUAUCUAUCUCACCCAUAACUACUUAACUGGUUCUUUCCCUACAAAUGCAAGUUUCAAUCUCCCGAUGCUACAGAUUAUUGCCAUAGGACAGAACAAUUUCACAAGCCAUGUUCCAUUGGGCCUUGCGUCUUGUCAAUACCUCAAAGUUAUUUCCUUCUCCCUUAAUUCAUUUGAGGGUGUUGUGCCAACAUGGCUAGGCAAGUUGACUCGUCUCAUUUGGUUGGCCAUGGGCGAGAAUGGCCUUUUCGGGUCAAUUCCUAGAGCUCCUUGA